AAAUCGAUCGAUUUUUAAUGUAAACAAAACAUAGAAACAAAACAUAUAAAAGUUAUAAAAUGUAACAUUUUGGUAGAGAAUCGUGAACGCAUAAUAAAUUAACAUUUUUGACGCUUUAAUUUUGACUUUUUUUGAGCUAUUAUAUCGCGUUUCUAUCCUAGCUCUAAACUUAAAAUCCUAAUAAAUCUUAAUUUCAGUUGUUAAUUUAACCCCAAUCUAACAACUCACGGCAACCAUACUCUUUUUCGAUUUUCGAUUUUCCAUGUUGAUCAUCGAUCACAAAGUUGGCAAGCGAUAAUCGAUUAAAUCGAUGAUCGAAUCGAUCGAGCACAACACUAUUUUAAUAGGAAAUUUCGGUAAUCAGUCAACUUAUUUCUUUGUGAUUCUAGUGCUUUUGCCUUUUUUUAGUUAAUCAGUCUUUUUACUGUCUAUCUUUCUGUCCGUCAUCAUCAUGUAAUCUUUGAAAGAUAAAAUUAAGCUCACUGAGAAGACAUAUUAAUGGGCCAAGGAAUGAGGUUAACCACGAUGAGGUUCAAGCUUUUUUUUACUGUUGAUUCUCAUGUUUAUUAUUGCUGUUGUUGAUCAUUUGCUCAAUGGGACAAGAGGUAAUGAACUUAAUGGAUGCUGAUGAUGAAGAUGAACAUGAUGAUGACCAGGACUUCGGUGUUUGUGCCUAAACUAACUUCUCUCUCUCUAUCUCUUUCUCAUAAAAGAUGAGCACACUCUGAAAACUGGUAAACAAUCACGAAAAAGCGAUUGAAGGCGAAGACAUGAAAGAAAGAAGAUGAAAACAAAUCUCAUCUUUUCUUUCCUUUCUUUGUAACGCUUCCAAUUCAAUCUUUAUCAUCUUCAUCAACAUCAUCAUCUUCUUUUUCUUCUCCAUCGUCUUUAUCUUCUAACCAAAGACAAAUAUGAGCAUGAAGAAUCUUCAAUGAUCUACUCUGACCUUAAAGGUUUUCUUUUGUAAAACAUUUUCUUCGUCUUUUCAACGAUCAUUUUAUCUUAUUUCAAUCUUAAGGUUGUAUCUUCUUCAUCAUCAUCAUCUUUAGGAUUUCAGUUGUUUCCAGUGAAAUCUUUCUUGGACUUUCUUGGACCAGCUUUAUAUCCUUACAAAGAAUAGAGCCUUUCCUUUCUAAGUGAAUUUUCCUUAUUCGCAUCUUCUCUGAUGUAAAAAUAUUUUUCGUUAUCACUUAUAUUGAUACUAAGUUAUUGACUGUUAUUAAAGACAAUGAUAGUAUCUUAAUGUCAACA